GUAACAGCUCUGUAAUUUAUCUUUAGCUAAACGUUUUAUUAAAACUAUUAACACUGUCAGCUUUUGGACACGCAUUAGCCGUAGUGGAUCAUAGUGUCUGGUUCAAUCUGUUGAUAUUCCAUCUGGAGUUCAGGUCAGGCAUGUUGGCUGGCCAAUCAAGCACAGUAAUAUCAUGGUCGGCAAACCACUUGGAACCACUGUGGGCAAGUCCUGCUGGAAAAGGAAAUUGACAUCUGCUUGUCAGCAGAUGGAAGCAUAAAGUGCUCCAAAAUCUCCUGGUAGACGGCUGCAUUGACUUUGGACUUGAUAAAACACAAUGGACCAACACCAGCAGACGUCACGGCACCCCAAAUCAUCACAGACUGUAUAAACUUCACACUGGACUUCAAGCAGCUUGGAUUCUGUGCCUCUCCACUCUUCCUCCAGACUCCAGACCUUGAUUUCCAAAUGAAAUGCAAAAUGUACUUUUAUCUGAAAAGAGGACUUUGGACCACUGAGCAACAGUCAGUUCUUUUUCUCCACAGCCCAGAUUUGCUGUGGGGUCUUCACACAACCAGCCCUGGAGAGCCAGAAACAAAGGCAGUCGUGACCACUCACAGACUCUUCACAGCACCAGCC